rnacentral:sRNA from 1 species
GGAGGCCUGUGAAUGCCGAUGGGAGAAUUCCGCCAUUCUCUGCAAAUCAGUGGCAUGUUGGUUGAAAGCUUUUGCAGCUGUCUUGCAGAAAUCCUAAGUAAUGCACUGAAGAGAGGAGAGAUCAUUGCAAAGCAGGGAGGAGGUGGAGGUGGAGGAAGCGUCCCUGGGAUCGAGAGGAUGGGUCCUGGCAUUGACCGCCUCGGGGGUGCCGGCAUGGAGCGCAUGGGCGCGGGCCUGGGCCACGGCAUGGAUCGCGUGGGCUCCGAGAUCGAGCGCAUGGGCCUGGUCAUGGACCGCAUGGGCUCCGUGGAGCGCAUGGGCUCCGGCAUUGAGCGCAUGGGCCCGCUGGGCCUCGACCACAUGGCCUCCAGCAUUGAGCGCAUGGGCCAGACCAUGGAGCGCAUCGGCUCUGGCGUGGAGCGCAUGGGUGCCGGCAUGGGCUUCGGCCUUGAGCGCAUGGCCGCUCCCAUCGACCGUGUGGGCCAGACCAUUGAGCGCAUGGGCUCUGGCGUGGAGCGCAUGGGCCCUGCCAUCGAGCGCAUGGGCCUGAGCAUGGAGCGCAUGGUGCCUGCAGGUAUGGGAGCUGGCCUGGAGCGCAUGGGCCCCGUGAUGGAUCGCAUGGCCACCGGCCUGGAGCGCAUGGGCGCCAACAACCUGGAGCGGAUGGGCCUGGAGCGCAUGGGCGCCAACAGCCUCGAGCGCAUGGGCCUGGAGCGCAUGGGUGCCAACAGCCUCGAGCGCAUGGGCCCCGCCAUGGGCCCGGCCCUGGGCGCUGGCAUUGAGCGCAUGGGCCUGGCCAUGGGUGGCGGUGGCGGUGCCAGCUUUGACCGUGCCAUCGAGAUGGAGCGUGGCAACUUUGGAGGAAGCUUCGCAGGUUCCUUUGGUGGAGCUGGAGGCCAUGCUCCUGGGGUGGCCAGGAAGGCCUGCCAGAUAUUUGUGAGAAAUCUGCCAUUCGAUUUCACAUGGAAGAUGCUAAAGGACAAAUUCAACGAGUGCGGUAAGUG